AGAGUUUGAUCAUGGCUCAGGAUAAACGCUGGCGGCGUGCCUAACACAUGCAAGUCGAACGCCCUGCUUUCGGGCAGGGAGUGGCGGACGGGUGAGGAACACGUGGGAAUCUACCCAGAGGUGAGGAAUACCGGCGAGAAAUCGCCGACAAGACCGCAUAGGCUUCGAGAGAAGCAAAGUCGCAAGACGCCUGUGGAUGA
rnacentral:rRNA from 1 species